rfam:Burkholderia glumae PG1 chromosome 1, complete sequence.
GCCCAGGUGGUGAAACUGGUAGACGCAGGGGACUCAAAAUCCCCCGCCGCAAGGCGUGCCGGUUCGAUUCCGGCCCUGGGCA